UGCUUUAGUGGGCACCAGAACGAACUCUGAGAGAGCUACAGAAGACAUUCCAAAAGCUGAAGGUUGGCAAUCCAUAAGCGGAAGUUCAACUUCAACGAGCUUCAUUGAAAGGGUCCCCAGAGGUAUGCACAAGCCACCUAUAAAAAAUGUGUACACAAGGAGAGAUCGGAAGCAAAAAGAAUCGACAGAAGGUUCCACUUUGUUUGCUGACAUCAGUUCUAACAGUGCCCAUGAAGGCAUACAGAAGCCACCUAUAAAAAUUGUAUUCGAGAGAAGAAGUGAUCCCAAGCAAAAAGGAUCCACAGGGGGGCAACUUGCUUCAAAGGAACUGAACAAAGGAAUGAACCCAGGGAGCAGCAGUCACGCCACAAGGAUUGCAACCUUAACAUGCAAUAUGUUGGACU